UCCAAGAGGCAUAGUGCAUGUAUUUUCUCUGUCACAGGAGUGUCACUAGGAUUCAAUGAAGAGGGACUAUGUCUCUGCUCAGCUCACAGUCCUGACAUAUGAACAUCUGAAUGAUUAGUAGUCUAACAUU